rnacentral:sRNA from 1 species
GGCAUACGAUCGUUUCUGUCGACAGAUA